CUACGGGUUGCUGCAGUGGGGAAUAUUGGGCAAUGGGCGCAAGCCUGACCCAGCAACGCCGCGUGAGGGAAGAAGGUCUUCGGAUUGUAAACCUCUGUCCUUGGGGACGAAAAAAAUGACGGUACCCAAGGAGGAAGCUCCGGCUAACUACGUGCCAGCAGCCGCGGUAAUACGUAGGGAGCAAGCGUUGUCCGGAAUUACUGGGCGUAAAGGGUGCGUAGGCGGCAUGGCAAGUCAGAUGUGAAAUCCCCGGGCUUAACUCGGGUGGGUCAUUUGAAACUGCUGUGCUUGAGUGCAGGAGAGGAAAGCGGAAUUCCUAGUGUAGCGGUGAAAUGCGUAGAUAUUAGGAAGAACACCAGUGGCGAAGGCGGCUUUCUGGACUGUAACUGACGCUGAGGCACGAAAGCGUGGGGAGCAAACAGGAUUAGAUACCCUGGUAGUC
rnacentral:rRNA from 1 species